AAACUCGCCUUUCAUGCUCACAAAGGUGGUUUUCCCAGGGCAAGGUUUGUCCAUCGCAUUCUGGAUGUGCUCACUCCUUUGAUUCCCCAAAUGUAGAAAACUAGCUGCAUAAAUUAUAGCAGUACAGGAUCCUGUCUAAGAUUCC
rnacentral:snRNA from 1 species